GACGAACGCUGGCGGCGUGCCUAAUACAUGCAAGUAGAACGCUGAAGAGAGGAGCUUGCUCUUCUUGGAUGAGUUGCGAACGGGUGAGUAACGCGUAGGUAACCUGCCUUGUAGCUGGGGAUAACUAUUGGAAACGAUAGCUAAUACCGCAUAACAAUGGAUGACACAUGUCAUUUAUUUGAAAGGGGCAAUUGCUCCACUACAAGAUGGACCUGCGUUGUAUUAGCUAGUAGGUGAGGUAAUGGCCCACCUAGGCGACGAUACAUAACCGACCUGAGAGGGUGAUCGGCCACACUGGGACUGAGACACGGCCCAGACUCCCACGGGAGGCAGCAGUAGGGAAUCUUCGGCAAUGGGGGCAACCCUGACCGAGCAACGCCGCGGGAGUGAAGAAGGUUUUCGGAUCGUAAAGCUCUGUUGUAAGUCAAGAACGGGUGUGAGAGUGGAAAGUGCACACUGUGACGGUAGCUUACCAGAAAGGGACGGCUAACUACGUG
rnacentral:rRNA from 1 species